rfam:Schistosoma margrebowiei strain Zambia genome assembly, scaffold: SMRZ_scaffold0000001
GCACUGCUGAAGAGUCCCACUAUGGGACGAAACGGCCGUCCAGUGC